rnacentral:rRNA from 1 species
AGAGUUUGAUCCUGGCUCAGGACGAACGCUGGCGGCGUGCCUAAUACAUGCAAGUUGAACGAUGAUUUCUGGUACUUGUAUCAGAAUGAAGAGUAGCGAACGGGUGAGUAACGCGUGGGUAACCUACCUCUUAGCGGGGGACAACUAUUGGAAACGAUAGCUAAUACCGCAUAACAAUGCUUAACACAUGUUGAGUAUUUGAAAGUACCAAUUGGUACACUAGGAGAUGGACCCGCGUUGUGUUAGCUAGUUGGUAGUGUAAUGGACUACCAAGGCGAUGAUACAUAGCCGACCUGAGAGGGUGAUCGGCCACAUUGGGACUGAGACACGGCCCAAACUCCUACGGGAGGCAGCAGUAGGGAAUCUUCGGCAAUGGACGAAAGUCUGACCGAGCAACGCCGCGUGAGUGAAGAAGGUUUUCGGAUCGUAAAACUCUGUUGUUAGAGAAGAACGUUGUGUAGAGUGGAAAAUUACACAAGUGACGGUAUCUAACCAGAAAGGGACGGCUAACUACGUGCCAGCAGCCGCGGUAAUACGUAGGUCCCGAGCGUUGUCCGGAUUUAUUGGGCGUAAAGCGAGCGCAGGUUGUUUAAUAAGUCUGAUGUAAAAGGCAGUGGCUCAACCAUUGUGUGCAUUGGAAACUGUUAGACUUGAGUGCAGUAGAGGAGAGUGGAAUUCCAUGUGUAGCGGUGAAAUGCGUAGAUAUAUGGAGGAACACCGGUGGCGAAAGCGGCUCUCUGGACUGUAACUGACACUGAGGCUCGAAAGCGUGGGUAGCAAACAGGAUUAGAUACCCUGGUAGUCCACGCCGUAAACGAUGAGUGCUAGUUGUUUGGGGCUAUCCAGCCCUAAGUGUCGCAGCAAACGCAUUAAGCACUCCGCCUGGGGAGUACGACCGCAAGGUUGAAACUCAAAGGAAUUGACGGGGGCCCGCACAGCGGUGGAGCAUGUGGUUUAUCGAGCACGCGAGACUUACAGUCUUGACAUACCAGUGCUAUUCUUAGAGAUAAGAAGUUACUUCGUACACUGA